CAAACAGGACAUUUGCUGAGUACGUUGAUGUGUACUCACCCUUGCUUUCACAAAACACCAGGUUGCCUUUGGUGCAAUCUAUGCUCAGGUAAAGAAGAAGGCGUCGAGGCGAAUCUCCAGGAGUUCCAGGACUUCGACGAGUUCGAGGAUUAGGCUAGCGACCUCCCCCAGUCAGCUGCCUGUGGUGGGCUUAUUUACGUUGGCUACGUUUCUGUUCUGUGUACUUUGAUUAUAUUAUGUAAAUGACUCUAGUCUUUCAUAUUAUUACUUAUCUUUAUUGUUAUUCGAAGCAUUGUGCUAUGAUGAGUCAUUUAUGUAAUCGCCGUGUAUUUGAAUUUCUGAUCCUGGCACGUACAUGGUUCACAUUCGGUUUACCUUCCAAAACCGGGUGUGACAUAAGUGGUAUCAAAGCCGUGCUGACUGUAGGACCGCUGACCUAGAGUAGCAUUGGCCGUUUUAAGGACUUAUUGACUAUUACUUCACAUCCUCCUUGAUGCUGCUUCAAAAUAUUAGUCACCUCGACUAAUUCUAUGUUAUUCUCCUAUAUAUCACCUUGCCAAAAGUAUUUUAUUCUAGUAUGGUCUAUACUUUUCUCAAUGUAUUAGAUCUGAUCUCACCCUUGUGCUUGCGACAUCUUUGUAGAUGCCCCCUGACCAUAGCCUUUUGUCUUUUGGGAUUAUUUCCUCUUCCAUCAUUAAAUUGCUACCAUUCGACCAUAUCUAUUCUCUUGGUAUUGACAUGCUUGUAUCCCUGGAAUCUUCAAUACCCUUUCCCUUGAUUCAAAUAUUGAUCUCUAAAUCUCUGCUGCCUAUUUAAACAUUUCAGUUUAUAUGUCCUUGACCUUCCUGCCUUCGGAGAUCCUUUCCUAUUCUGUUGUUAAUAACUAACUUUCGGCAAUUUCUAUUCUCUUGGUUUUGCUAUGCUCGUAUCCUUGGAACCUUGCAUACUCUUAUCUUUAUAUAUAUGUGUACCUUUAUAUCCCAAUGUCUAUUUAGAGCAUUUCAGCUUACAUGCCCUUGACCACCCUUGUUUCUUAAUGAUCCAUUAGCGGUCAUUUUACUUUGCACAUCCUUGGUAAUCUCAUUGUUUCGUUGUAACUUCCCUCAGUAAUGAAUUUUUUACUUUAACUCUUCUGUUGGAACCACACCUAUCUUAUCCUUGAUUGGUUUCCCCACUUCGCUAGUUUGCGAGUCUUGCCUUAACUCUGUCCAUGGAUUAUGCUUUUCAUCAUUAUCACCUUUGCCCUUAUCACCUCUAUAUCUUACUUUGAUGUUUAUCUUAUUUCGGCCCUUUAAAAUCUCCUCUUUUCCAUCUUCAUCCGAGAGUUGUAUGUUUUACCUAUUUUUCUCUUGGACGUAUCAUCUUCUUUGUCACUUGCGAGUUUUUAAUUCCAUCCUUUGCCUACUUUUGUUUGUUAUUACCUUUACCCUUCUCAUCACUCUAUCCUACCUUGUGAUUACAUUAUGUCUGUUAUCUAAAAUCUUCAGUCUCCUAUCUCAAUUUGAGAGUGGUGUUUUACUUACCUCACCCUUGGCUAUAUCCUCUUCUUUACCGCGUGUAAGCUUCGACGUAACUUCAUUCUUUGUUGUACUCAUACCACUAGCUCUCCAAUGCCUUCAUCUUUUCUCUCAUACUCUUGUCUGUUGUCGCCUUUGACCCUUGCGAUAUUGAGGCCUUCUACCUAAGUGUUUACUUUGAAUUUAUCCUUUAAAAGUCUCCCCUUUCUUUCAACCUAGUUUGAGAGUUGCGAGUUACCCAUCUCUCCCUUGAUUUCUUUUCACUUCUUGUCGCCAUACAAGUUUUGUGUUAAUUCCAUCCCAUGCUGUGUUUUUAUUUGCUAUCACCCUCACCUUGUCAUCCAUCGAUCUUGCCUUGAUACUCAUCUUUAUUCCUACUCUUUAAAAAUCCCCUCUCUUCCACCUCAAUUUGAGAGUGGCAAUUUACCUAUCUGGCCCUUGGACGUACCCUCUCCUUUUCCAUUUGCAGGUCCGAUCUUAACUCCAUCCUUUAUGGUACUUAUAUCCUUGGUUCUUAUGCCCAUUUACCUCCUCUCCUACAGCCUUGUUUGUUAUCACCUUUAAACCCUCGUGAUAUAUAUGUCCUUGCCUUCCUGUUUACCUUGAACCUACCAUUUGAAGACUCCUCUUUUCCCUCCCUGUUUGGGGAUAAAGCCUCAUCUAUUUCAUCACUGACUGCUCCCUCUUCUUUGACCCCUUGCAAGUUUUGUCUAAAAUACAUCCUUUGUUGUGUGUUUGUCCGUUAUCACCUUAACCCUUGUCGUCCCUCGAUCUUUACUUUGAUGCUUAUCCUGUACCUGCAUUUUAAAGUCGCCUCCCCCAUUUCAUUUCAAGAGUGUUGUCUUACGCCUCCCUGCUCUUGUUUGUUCCCUUUUCCUCGGUCAUGCUGCAAGCCUUGCCUUAACUCGAUCUUUUGGUGUGCUUUCACCUGUUACCUUCUCUACCUUUGUAGUCACUGGAUCUUUCCAUGAUGCUCAUCUUAUGCCUACCUUUUGAAUUAUCAUCUUUCCCAUCUCGAUUUGAGAAUGGUGUUUACCUAUCCUGCCCUUGGUUGCAUUUUCUCCCUUGUAGAUUACAAUACUUGCUUUAACUCCAUCCCUUAUUUUGCUCGUGCCCCUAUCCCAUACAUCUUGUUCUUCUCCUCGUCCUUCGACAACCUUAGAGAGUAGUUAUUCCCUUUUCAAAGACCACCAUCUAGUUAACAUUAACGUGUAGCAAUGAGAUGUUUGUUGUUGUAUGCUUGUGUUGUUUGUCUUUGUGUUAUGACUGAUUUGCUUCUUUGUAAUGAGUGUUGGUGUGUUGUGGUCCCUGGGUCCGCAAUGGCAUCCGUUUACUAACUGGGUGCUCUCCCUUCUCUCUCUUUAAGCCAUCUAUGCUUACCUUUUCUAUCUAUACUCUUCCCUUUUGCACCUGUCCGGUUGGCAUCCUGCAACCUCUCUUAAUCAGUCAGGAUCAGAGUUGACAAUAUCUUCACCAAGUGCAUAUCAACGCUUCUGUUAAGGGGGUUAGCCGCUAACCCCAAUGAAGACAAUACGAUCAACAUCAACCAACAAGAUCAGAGUGGCGCAACGAAAGCGUGUGUAGGUCCUAACCCACAGGUCCAAGCGAUUCUCAAGAAUUGUAUCAAUUGGUCUUGAGCGUUUGAAGAUCAAAGCAACCAGUCCGCAAGUUAAGCUAGCAGAGUCAAAGUUAACUCAAAAAAAGUCGUGAACCACCCAUGAACCAACCUUUUCGUUCUGGCUAACAUCUUCUUGAAUCUCGGGGGCGAGAUUCUGUUAAGGGGGUUAGAUUUGUAACACCCUGAAUUUGGGGGUAUAAAAUUUCUUUUCUAAAAUCCACUAAAUUCGGGUGUUACCCUCUCUUUUCCUUGCUUUUCUUUUCUUUUUUCUAAAUAAUGGAGAGUUAUUUUAUUAUAUAUAAGUUUUUAGCGUAGUAAAAUAAAAUCCUAGAGAAGCUUUUGUUGUUGCAUGUCAUUGCAUAGUGUUUAUGAGUGCAGGGGUUUUCAAACUAUAUCGAAUUAUCUUUUGCAUGUUUCCAGAAAUUUUCGGGAACCUUCGGAAUGUUUUUUUAUAUUAACUAUGAAUUUAAGAUUUUUCUGAUAUUAUUUUUAAUCUCAAAAUUUAGCAUUUGCAAAAGCUAUAAAAUUCUGGAAACUCGAUAAUAUAUGUAUAUAUAUUUUCCUCUCGUCGAGCCUGUUCCGGAUCUCGUGUUCUUUUUCGCGAGAUCACCGAACCGCUUCUCCUCGCGAACAGCAAGUCGCUUGCAUCUGCCAUCCCUAACUACCUCAUCGACCCUUCGUCUAUUCUCCCUGUCUACCCUCCGUCAAAGUCUAUUCCUUCCAUCAAUCUCACCCCCGCUUCAUCUCAUCAGGCAACACUCGUGCGUGCAACCUCCUCCCCACCUCGCCACACCCCACCUCUAUUUAUAUAGGGCUUCUUCCCUCUACACAGAUACGAACUUCUCCCCUGGAUCCGGAUCUCGUGAGCAGCAGGUACCAAGUACACAGCUCUCUCAUCUUCUCUUCGUCCGUUAUACUGACGCCCAGAUUUAUAAGAGCCACCAAUGUUAUCGUCGUCCCCGAAGCCGCUCGUCCCCUGCGCUCCUCCCUGCGGCGCAGCCAGGCCCUUGCGCAGGGCGAGGCGCGGCAGCCGGCCAGUGCGACGGACAACUAGCGCGACGGCUCGCCCGCGUGCCCAGGCGUCUGGCACCCUGCUCCCUCGCGUGGCGAGCCCGCGGCCGAGCUGCCCCGCGCGUGCCCUCCCACGGCUCUUACCUCGCCUGCAGCGGCAGCAAAGCUGCAGGUCACUGGCGCCGCCCGCCCCCGUCCUCACGUCACGCCGCCAGCAAGUCUCUACGUCGCGUCGUGACCGCUGCCCGGCCUGCAAGCUACGUCUGAGAUCGUUUCUUCUCGUGCUGGUGUCAUGCAGUGCAGCCUGAGGAAGAAACCGUCAUGGGGCCCACCACGUGCAUACAUCUGCAAUUUCUUGGUAGCAUGCGUAAGUCAGAGAACCAUCCUCCCUACUCACGUGGCCUUGUGGCAUUUUUUUCCUUUUCUUUUCUUCUAUCAUUAGCUGCUAAGGAUCCUGUGCAUUUGCUUCCAUGUGGUCCUUCAUACGAUUAAAUUUCUGCCAAUAAAAUUGUGUCACGUCGCCACUAAUCCGCGAUAAACUAAUGCAACAUCUUUUAUGUUAAGCCUCUAUUUUAACCCAUUCAAAUUGUGUUAGAUUAGUAUUAACGUUGUCUACAUAUUAAAAUAUAUUUUUGUCGUAACACAUGUUUCAGUUAAUUAAUUAAUUGUUUGUUUGUUAGUUAUUAAAAUAGCUUUCUAAUUAAAACUAAUUUGUAGUUUUAGUUUGCACUUUUAUAAUAAAUGUUAGCAUGAUUAAUGUCAGCUUAAAUGUUGUCGAAUUAAUACUUGUUUAGCAUAAACACGACAUCUAUUAAUAAUUUCCUGCUUGUCGCGUCGUUCGUGCAUGUCGUGUGUCGACAUUUGCACGUCGUCGUGCUGUUUGCACGCGCCGUUGUCAUGGUUUGUGUGUGGUUCGCACGUGUUGCAUUCGCCGUCAUCGUGCUAUUCGCGUGCAUAGUCACGUUGACUCGUGUGUUUCGCGCACUGUCGUGUGCGUUGUUUUGCGUGUGUCGCACGUGCCGUUCGCACGUGUUAUCACACGUCGUGUGCGUGCGUCGCGUGUGCCAUUUGCACGUGUCGUUUGCCUCGUCGCGUGUCCGCGUGUCGUCGCAUGUCGAUCACGUGUGUCACGCGGCGUCUGUGCGUGACAAUAAAUUGUUUUCGCUUACGAACACUCACAUUAAUAACGUUAAUCUGUUAGGUCUCAUAUUUUAAUUAAUUUAUUUAAUGUUUGCUCGACUAAUGUUGAUUAGUUAAUAUUCUGAUUAGAUUAUGAAUAGUUUCCAACUUGCGCUGUGAUAAUAAACACUAACAUGGUUGAUGUUAACUUAAAUUCUUUUUAUUUAUUUAAUAUUUGCUUAGUAUAAACCUGCCACCUAUUUAGUUUUCCCUGUCUGUUGUGCGAGUUGUUCCGCGCGUGGUGUCGUGUUGGUUCGCGCGUCGUUCGCGCUAGUCGCGCGCACUGUUUUUGUGCAUCGUAAAUUCGUCUCGCUUAUAGUAUCUCGUUUUAAUUAAAUCACUUAUUUAACUGACAUUUGUUAGUAUAGCAUAUUAAUCGAACUAAAUGAUAGAUAUUACUUAUAUUUGAUAAUGUCGAAUUAAAAGUUUUACUUAAUAUUUAUUUAGCGUAAACGUGAUAUCUUCUAGACCGACGCUUCGAGUUCGACAUUUCUUUUUCCUCGCGUGACCGUAGUAACGCGCUCUAUUUUGUUUUGCAUGUUUUAUUAUGUUUUUAUUUGAAUGAUGUAAUGUUCUUAUGCAUAUAUAUGUUUGCUUGUUUGUGCCUGUUUGUAUUCGUUGUGCGUCGCGAAUAGAUUGCGAUCUGUUUCCAAGCUUCGAGGGAUCGAAGAUCAAGCGUUGGCGACCAAGUGAUCUAGCUCUUCGAGUUCUACGAGAUUGAAGACCCUGAGCAUCUGUUUGGUGAAGGCAAGUGUCCUCUGACCCAUUAUGUCCCAUUCACUUUUAAUGCACUGUCCCGCAUUACUUAAUUGAAACCUAAGGAUUGACUAGCUUUCCAUUUACCUUAUCCUUGUUUACCUUUUGGGUUAUCAUGGUUAGCAUUAUGCUAUUGCUUUACUUGAAUCAAUGAACAUGAUGUGAAUACUUAUGAUACUAUGAUGUUAUCCCGAUGAUGUUCCUGUGAUACUUUAGGGGGCUCAGGCUGUUUCCUGAGUGCCUCUCCGUAAGGACCUGUUUGGGGAGUGACAACCCGGGAUAACAGUGCAACCAUGAGGGUGAAAUGGGGCGCCCUUAGCUAAUUAAUUAGAGGAACUAGAGGUGUAGUUGCUUCGCCGUCGUGCCGUCAAUGGGGUCCAGGCACAGUGCUUGCUCUGCCGAGGCUGGGUGCCGAAGUUCUUUCGUUUUGCUUUUGUUAGUCACCCCCUUCGGGGAGAGGUACUGUGUUUAUCAAACUGGAGAAACCUAACGGGCAGUUAUGACCUCUAGGGAAUCUUUGUAAAAGCUACGUAGUGAUACCCUGCCGGACCACCUAGGAAGUGAUCAAUGGGGAGUCAUGAUCCCCGGGCAAAAUGGGAAUCACGGCUCAUGGUUAAAGUGUGCGACCUCUGCAGAGGGUAUUGAAACUGAUAUAUCGCGGCGGCCUUGGGAUCCUCUUUGAUUAGAGAUAUUUGAUCAGAGAUGGUUGGUUUACAGGUGGUGACAAGGAUGAUGGUUAUGACUAUGGUAAUGGUAAGUGGUAUUCUUUCCGUUUGGAAAGGGUACUUUGGGUUAAUAACUUGGGUUAAUGUUAAAAUCUGGCUCUCAAUUAAUAAUAAUAACCUGACCAACUAAAAGCAACUGCUUGACCUUAACCCCAAAUAAAGCUAGUCCACUACAGCCAAACAGGACAUUUGCUGAGUACGUUGAUGUGUACUCACCCUUGCUUUCACAAAACACCAGGUUGCCUUUGGUGCAAUCUAUGCUCAGGUAAAGAAGAAGGCGUCGAGGCGAAUCUCCAGGAGUUCCAGGACUUCGACGAGUUCGAGGAUUAGGCUAGCGACCUCCCCCAGUCAGCUGCCUGUGGUGGGCUUAUUUACGUUGGCUACGUUUCUGUUCUGUGUACUUUGAUUAUAUUAUGUAAAUGACUCUAGUCUUUCAUAUUAUUACUUAUCUUUAUUGUUAUUCGAAGCAUUGUGCUAUGAUGAGUCAUUUAUGUAAUCGUCGUG
rnacentral:lncRNA from 1 species